ACGGAAGGCAGCAGUGGGGGAUAUUGCACAAUGGGGGAAACCCUGAUGCAGCGACGCCGCGUGAGUGAUGAAGUAUUUCGGUAUGUAAAGCUCUAUCAGCAGGGAAGAUAAUGACGGUACCUGACUAAGAAGCCCCGGCUAACUACGUGCCAGCAGCCGCGGUAAUACGUAGGGGGCAAGCGUUAUCCGGAUUUACUGGGUGUAAAGGGUGCGUAGGUGGUAUGGUAAGUCAGAAGUGAAAACCCAGGGCUCAACUUUGGGAUUGCUUUUGAAACUAUCAGACUAGAGUGCAGGAGGGGUAAGCGGAAUUCCUAGUGUAGCGGUGAAAUGCGUAGAUAUUAGGAAGAACACCGGCGGCGAAGGCGGCUUACUGGACUGUAACUGACACUGAGGCACGAAAGCGUGGGGAGCAAACAGGAUUAGAUACCCUGGUA
rnacentral:rRNA from 1 species